AGCUAAUGGAGAUGGAACCGGCUA
rnacentral:siRNA from 1 species